rnacentral:rRNA from 1 species
GAGUUUGAUCAUGGCUCAGAACGAACGCUGGCGGCAUGCCUAACACAUGCAAGUCGAACGAGACCUUCGGGUCUAGUGGCGCACGGGUGCGUAACGCGUGGGAACCUGCCUUGAGGUUCGGAAUAACUCUCCGAAAGGGGUGCUAAUACCGAAUAAUGUCUUCGGACCAAAGAUUUAUCGCCUUUAGAUGGGCCCGCGUUGGAUUAGCUAGUUGGUGGGGUAAAGGCCUACCAAGGCGACGAUCCAUAGCUGGUCUUAGAGGAUGAUCAGCCACACUGGGACUGAGACACGGCCCAGACUCCUACGGGAGGCAGCAGUGGGGAAUAUUGGACAAUGGGCGAAAGCCUGAUCCAGCAAUGCCGCGUGAGUGAUGAAGGCCCUAGGGUUGUAAAGCUCUUUUACCCGGGAUGAUAAUGACAGUACCGGGAGAAUAAGCUCCGGCUAACUCCGUGCCAGCAGCCGCGGUAAUACGGAGGGAGCUAGCGUUGUUCGGAUAUACUGGGCGUAAAGCGCACGUAGGCGGCGCAGCAAGUCAGGGGUGAAAUCCCGGAGCUCAACUCCGGAACUGCCCUUGAAACUGCAGUGCUAGAAUUCUGGAGAGGCGAGUGGAAUUCCGAGUGUAGAGGUGAAAUUCGUAGAUAUUCGGAAGAACACCAGUGGCGA